CUGAGCUACCUCGGUGAACUAGUGUGGAACCUUCGGUUGAACCUCAAUGAAGAAAUCGGUCUCAGGCUAGGUCAGACUGCCCUGCUUCCUCGUAGAGGAAGGAGGAAGAGCCCUGGCCAGAGUGUCGCGAGUCCCUGGUUUGAGUCUCAGCCCUGCUUCCCAUUCUCUGCGCAAAAGAGAACGUUCACCUGCACGGAUCCACCUGUCUUCUUAUCUGAGCAAGGGGUUGAUAACGCCUUGCUGGGGGAAGAGGAGACUGAGCCAGCGUUGGAGAGAUCGUGGUCACUAAGGUCAAGAACAGCCAGGAGGGUUGAAAGAACAAGAGCUCCUAAGAUACAGAACUUAAGUACUAUGGCCCCAUUUCAAGAUGAAGACACUGAGGCUCAGAGAGGGGAGGGACUGCCACAGCUUGAAGCAGUGACACGAGAAUCUGAACUCUGGACAUCCAAUUCCCAAGCCCCACUGGAGGGGCUCAGCGCACCACCCCCGCCCUCAAGGACCAGGCGGUGUUGGGACUCACGGCGCAGGCCACGGGCCGGAAGGAGUUCCGAUCCCCCUGGACUCACGCGCCACUCAGCACUUUCAAAGAUCGAACAGUCUCAAAGCCAAGCUCCAGCACGCUGGGGCACUCAGCCGUGAACUCAUGCC